AAAGAUUUAGUUUAAAUAAAACAUAAAAUUGUCAAUUUUAAAACACUUUAUUAGUAGUCUUUU
rnacentral:tRNA from 1 species